AUCUGUACCACGCAGGGCGGGCUGACGCGCAGUAUGGAAUACGAUGCUGCCGGACGGGUCAUCCGCCUGACCAGU
rnacentral:tRNA from 1 species